rnacentral:rRNA from 1 species
GCUUUACUGUAACUUGGAAUUGAGUUUGGGCUCUUCUUGCGCAGUAUAGGUGGGAGGCUAAGAAAAUAUGCUUGCGGCAUAUUUGAGCCAUCAUUGAGAUACCACUCUGGAAGGGUUGGAACUCUAACUUUGAGCCGUAAGCCGGCCAAAAGACAGUUUCUGGUGGGCAGUUUGACUGGCGGUCGCCUCCUAAAAAGUAACGGAGGCGCGCAAAGGUUCCCUCAGACUGGUCGGAAAUCAGUCGUAGAGUGUAAAGCAUAAGGGAGCUUAACUGCGAGACUUACAAGUCGAGCAGAGACGAAAGUCGGCCUUAGUGAUCCGGCGGUUCCAUGUGGAAGGGCCGUCGCUCAACGGAUAAAAGUUA